GCUCCCAUGGUGUAGCUGGUUUGCACAUUGCUCUUAUAAUGCAAAGGUCGUGAGUUCAAUCCUCACUGGGAGCA
rnacentral:tRNA from 1 species